GAAAGAAGAUGAGUAACGAAAUGACCAGGCUUACAAAAUUGAAACACUUUCUCAAUUAACAGCACUUGAAUCACAAUUUUUUUUUUAAUUUCACGAAUUUUUUUAAUUCACUUUUUUUUAAUUUCGUAUGUAUAUAUAUAUUUUUUUAAUUUCAAUUUUUUUUACGUACCUAUUUAAAAAUGUCUUCGAGUGCUCGUACUUCUCGUUUUAACCAGCUCUGAUACCAAAUGAUACGAUCUCAGUUUUGUAGAUGAAUACGAGUCGUUUAGUUGCCCGAUCGAUAAACGUAGAAGUAUGUUUUGUUCUUAGAGUUUAAAGGAAAAUAGGCUAAGUUCGAGUUUACGAAAAAUAGGUUGAUUCAUAAAAG
rnacentral:lncRNA from 1 species